GAGAUUCUUGUAGACUGCCAGAAA
rnacentral:piRNA from 1 species